ACGAGGGGAGCUAGCGUUAUUCGGAAUUACUGGGCGUAAAGCGCACGUAGGCGGCUUUGUAAGUUAGAGGUGAAAGCCCAGAGCUCAACUCUGGAAUUGCCUUUAAGACUGCAUCGCUUGAAUCCAGGAGAGGUGAGUGGAAUUCCGAGUGUAGAGGUGAAAUUCGUAGAUAUUCGGAAGAACACCAGUGGCGAAGGCGGCUCACUGGACUGGUAUUGACGCUGAGGUGCGAAAGCGUGGGGAGCAAACAGG
rnacentral:rRNA from 1 species